GAUGAACGCUAGCGGCAGGCUUAAUACAUGCAAGUCGAGGGGUAGCAAGAUUGUGGCAAUACAAUUGUUGACGACCGGCAAACGGGUGCGGAACACGUACACAACCUUCCUACAAGUGGGGAAUAGCCCAGAGAAAUUUGGAUUAAUACCCCGUAACAUAGCGAUGUGGCAUCACAUUGCUAUUAUAGCUUCGGCGCUUGUUGAUGGGUGUGCGGCUGAUUAGAUAGUUGGCGGUGUAACGGCCCACCAAGUCCACGAUCAGUAGCUGAUGUGAGAGCAUGAUCAGCCACAAGGGCACUGAGACACGGGCCCGACCACUACGGGAGGCAGCAGUAAGGAAUAUUGGACAAUGGACGCAAGUCUGAUCCAGCCAUGCCGCGUGAAGGAUUAAGGUCCUCUGGAUUGUAAACUUCUUUUAUAAGGGACGAAAAAAGGUCUUUCUAGAUCGUCUGACGGUACCUUAUGAAUAAGCACCGGCUAACUCCGUGCCAGCCGCCGCAGUAACAC
rnacentral:rRNA from 1 species